ensembl:lncRNA
GUCCUCUAUACUGAACUGUAUAAUGACCUAUCAGGUCCUCUAUACUGAACUGUAUAAUGACCUAUCAGGUCCUCUAUACUGAACUGUAUAAUGACCUAUCAGGUCCUCUAUACUGAACUGUAUAAUGACCUAUCAGGUCCUCUAUACUGGACUGUAUAAUGACCUAUCAGGUCCUUUUUUUCUGCAGCGGUGGCAAAGUUAGUGUAGUGGGUGUGGCCAAUGGCACGGUCUCCAACCGAAAAUGAGCAGAGAUAUUUUGGUGUUUUAAAGCUAAAUGUCCUUCAAUUCUACACAUGUUGCUGUGGCUUAUGGCGUGUUCUUAUGCUAUCUGAAUGACUCAAACAGUAUAACUAAAUCAAUGCGGGCCCCAGGACAUGAUAUUUGGGGAAUUUU